CGCGAACCGGAUUGGAUACCCGGGUAGUCCAGGGCGCAAACGCUGCUUGCUUGAUGUUAGUUGGGCUCCGAGCUCGACUAGUGUCGGAGAGAAGUUGUUAAGCAAGCUGCCUGGGAAGUACGAUCGCAAGAUUGAAACUUAAAGGAAUUGGCGGGGGAGCACAGCAACGGGAGGAGCGUGCGGUUUAAUUGGAUUCAACGCCGGAAAACUCACCGGAGGUGACGGUUACAUGAAGGCCAGGCUGAUGACCUUGCCUGAUUUUCCGAGAGGUGGUGCAUGGCCGCCGUCAGUUCGUACCGUAAGGCGUUCUGUUAAGUCAGAUAACGAACGAGACCCUCAUCCUUAAUUGCUACUGAUAACUUUGGUUGUCGGGCACAUUAAGGAGACCGCUGACGAUAAGUCAGAGGAAGGCGAGGGCAACGGUAGGUCAGUAUGCCCUGAAUCCUCCGGGCUACACGCGCGCUACAAAGGCCAGGACAAUGGGUUUCGACACCGAAAGGUGAAGGUAAUCCCGAAACCUGGUCAUAGUUCGGAUUGAGGGCUGAAACUCGCCCUCAUGAAGCUGGAUUCCGUAGUAAUCGCGGAUC
rnacentral:rRNA from 1 species